ACUGUGAAUUAAGUAUGGUAGACAGGGAGGAACUUAGCAAAGUCUGUCUGAUCAAAGUCCUCUAUGUCCCAUUGUCUCUGAGUCCUCCAGCAAACAUUUGCUUAGCAAAUAUUUACUUUUACAUCUUCUUGUGAAUUACUUCCUUCCUUUUGAAGUCCCAGACCCCUAACCCCUUUUCCUUAGUUUAGAAUGACGUAGAAACCUCAUUUUGUCUUUGAAAUUUCCAUGUCUGCGUGGAUUCCCUGUAAGCACAUCAGAUUUAAUUUUCUCUUAUUAAUCUGUCUCAUGACGAUUUGAUUCUUAGUCUGGCUAGAAGGAUGUUGUAAGGAACAGGAUAGUGAUAGUGUUGAUCUUUGACAUAAUGAAAAACAAUCUGUAUUUUAGCAAAAUCCCUAGGUAAUUUGUAUGCACAGUGAGAAGCACUUGUCUUCAACACACUUUGUUAUUGUAAAAAACCUUCUGAACACAAGAUGGCGCUCUUUCCUAUCUAUUUGGCUCCUCCCUCAGCUUUGAGCCCUGUUCACUCUAAAGCUGGAUGAGGUCAGUGAGUGUCUGCAGAGGGCUGUACAAGCUUGUCACUGAUUGGGUAGGAAGCAGAAACUUCCUCCCACAGAUGAACUCCAGUGACACCCACCAGACUAAAGGAAUGGCUUUUCGUUUCAGGAGAGUGAGUCCGCAUGCCAGGCCACAGCUGGGGAGAAGAAUGAAACUGUUCCUGGGAGUUAUUCUGGUGAUUUUGUGGUUUCCAGUGGACUGGGUAAGCAGCCAAAAGAUGGAACAGAAUCCACAGUCCCUGAGCAUCCAGGAGGGUGAGAAGGCGGUGCUGACCUGUAACUACACGAAUUAUUCUCCAGUGGUCUUCCAGUGGUAUCGACAAGAUCUGGGAAGAGACCUUGUCUUCUUGCUACUAAUACGUGAAAAUGAGGGUGAAAAACAGACAGGAAGACUGAGGGCCACCUUUGAUAAGACCCUCCAGCAGAGUUCCUUUUAUAUCUCGAAGUCCCAGCCUGCAGACUCAGCCACCUACUUCUGUGCUGCAGACACACAGCAGGGCCCUGCCACCUGCUUCCUGCACCCAAACUCUGCCAGUGGCUCAGUCAGCAGAGCUGCUGGCAGAGCUGCUGGCUGUGCUGACCUCAAGGCCGAACAAGUGGGGGCCACUUGAAAGGGUUAAAGGCUGUGAGCCAGAGCCCUGGAUCUACCUCCAGCCUGAGUCUCUCCCUGCUGAUACCGCUGUGUGUCUAUGAGCAGCUCCUGAGAAUCUCUGGUCUCAUUUGCCUCAUCGGAUCAUGAAGGGCUUACCACAUGAUUCUCAAGUUUGUCUCAGCAAUGAAAUCCAAACAGUCUAAUUUUUUAGGAAAAAGAAAUAUGCCCUGAAGAAUGCCAGAGAUCAAGAAAAGAGGAUUUAUGUGAUGCAUGCACAUGUUUAUAUAUAUGUGUAUCUGUGUGCAUGUUUAAGGACAAUUAAUUCUGCCCAGUUUUUGUGACUAGGCCAGAACAGCCUGAGACAUAUACAGGGUUAAACACAUUCCUUUUAAACAUUAACUGUAUAUUCCUCCACAUAAACAACAACAGCAAACAAACCAGUCUAAACAUUCCUGAGACCCUUUUAAACUGAACCUCAAAUAAUGAUAUAAAAAAUUGACCUGUGUUUAAAAAAAAAAAAUUCAACCAAGUAAAAUUGAAGAUCUAA